rnacentral:tRNA from 1 species
UAAGGGCCUAUAGCUCAGUUGGUUAGAGCACACGCCUGAUAAGCGUGAGGUCGGUGGUUCAAGUCCAUUUAGGCCCA